CACCUCCCAAAGAUCGAAUCUGCAGAGUGGAUCUGUAUUCUGCUAGCUUCGGAGAUGGGAGGAAAAACAAGCCGUGGCAGAGGAGAUACCCAUUCCAUUCCCAGCUUGCUCCGUGGCUGGCGAUUGGAAGACUCUCUGCGACAGUG